rnacentral:piRNA from 1 species
UUGUUCUCCAAGCAAAAUUUU